rnacentral:misc_RNA from 1 species
AGUUGCCAAAAGUUGGGCCGAUCACACGAGAGGAUAUAAAGACAGCCUUAAGGAACACUAGGCCAUCUGCUCAUCUCCAUGCUCACCGUUAUGAGAAGUUUAAUGCUGAUUAUGGUAGCCAAAUACUCCAAUGAAGGCUCACAUCCUCGGAUGUCAUUCUAAAUUCCUCCAUGAAAUGUUUCUUAGUUUAUGUUGUUAUCAGAUAACGUGUACUAUUAUAUCUUUACCAUAACGAGCCUAGAUGAGGACGUGAAAGUCUGAUAAUUAUAUAUAUCAUGGUUUGGUCUCAACAAUUACUUUCCAGUAUCCAUUUUUUAAUGGUUUUUGUAGGAUUACUCGCAGAUACUCUGAACACCGUUUCCAAUUUUCUCGGUUUAUUUCAAGUAAAGCUGCUGCAAAAGGAUGCUGUCUUUAGCUGAUUAGCUCGUUCAUUGAGAUAUCACUGUUCAUUGGAUGUGCAAAUUCGUUUCACC